UUUUUAAAUAAUGCUUUUUUAUAUAAUGCUGGGGAAGGUUUUCCGGUUUAUCUCGGAGGGCUUGUAGCUCACUUGGUUAAAGCGCGCGCUUGAUAAGCGUGAGGUCGCAGGUUCAAGUCCUCCCAGGCCCACCAAUUUACCUAUCCAUUUGCCUUUAUCUGUUUAUUUGCCGAUUUAUCGGUCCAUUGAAUUUAAGUGUUGGUAGCAGUUUUAUAAUGAUGAAAAAUCAUGCUUAUAAAAGAACUCCUUAUAAAAGGCUUGUUUUUAAAAUGUGACGCUUAUCCAUUUCGCUUAGGUAAGAAAAACUUCAAGCGGUUCAAAUACAAAAGGCUUUAAGUUUUGCAAAACACUUUGAAUUUUGCAAAACACUUUGAAUUUUAAAGUGAU
rnacentral:misc_RNA from 1 species